CAUAGGUAGUAGCUUGGUUAAUGGAACCCACUGAAGUCGUAGCGAAAGUGAGUCUUCAUAGAGCAAUUGUCACUACUUAUGGACCCGAACUUGGUUGAUCUAUCUAUGACCAGGAUGAAGCUUGGGUGAAACUAAGUGGAGGUCCGAAUCGACUGAUGUUGAAAAAUCAACAGAUAAGUUAUGGUUGGGGGUGAAAUGCCACUCGAACCUAGAGCUAGCUGG
rnacentral:ncRNA from 1 species